ACCCGACUCCAUGAAGCUGGAUUCGCUAGUAAUCGCGGAUCAGCAUGCCGCGGUGAAUACGUUCCCGGGCCUUGUACACACCGCCCGUCACACCAUGGGAGCCGGUAAUACCCGAAGUCAGUAGUCCAACCUCGUGAGGACGCUGCCGAAGGUAGGAUUGGCGACUGGGGUGAAGUCGUAACAAGGUAUC
rnacentral:rRNA from 1 species